ensembl:lincRNA Gm2044 predicted gene 2044
AGGACUUCACCGAGCAACAGCCAAGUCCUCUGACACUGCUUCCAAGCUCUGUCUCAUUCUCAGGCCACUAGCAGUCUGGACCCAGGGGAUCAAUCCUUCUGGUGACUGCUGCUGCUUGCAAGUAUCAAAUGAUGGCCCGCACAUUCUCGCUGGCUGUUCCUUUUUCCUAUGCAUAUACUUCUUUGUGGAUCUGGUCUAAAGAGGUAUAGCGCAUGGGAAGAUGGAGCAGUGAGAUCUUCCCCACCCAAACAAAGUCAUUAGCAUCUGCUUCCUGACCAGGCGACUUCUGCUUCCCUUCCACUGGACCUGGGGCUGGGCGCUUUCCUGUCUGCUCGGGGCACUGUAAGAGAAGAAGAGCCGCACUGCCUUUCCCGAGUCUUCCAGGGAACAGUGAUUCCUACGCAAGCGGAUCUUGGGAUCCGGUUGUUCAGGUGUUAAAAUGGAGGGCUUGGGAUAGAAUGGAGGGGCACAUCUGACCUAUCCGAGGUUUUACAGAGGGUGUUGGGACAGGAACUGAAGCAGAUCUGAGUUCGUGCUUAAGCAAUCCUGAGUUCUAGGGACCUUAGAAGAGGCGCAUAGGCUCAGGACUUGAUCUUUGAAAUUUUCCUUAUGAAAUUUUCUUUAGUGUGAAAUCAGUGUGACCACAUUUUCACACUAGUGGAUGACGUCGGGUCUGAUGUUGGAGGAGGUAUAAGGACCAGCUGAGGGGUCAGUGGGCUCCAGGAUUCAGUUUGUGUAAUUGCUUCGCACCAUGAUUACAUUUUUAUCAUGAUGGGUGUGGUUGAUUUUUUUUUAACACUCAGUGGCAGAAUGCUUGCCACUCACGAGGGAGGAGGUCUUUGGGUUCAGUUUCCAGAACUGAAAAAAAGAUGAAAAUCAGGAAAAGCUGAUGAAAAUAAAAUGUUUGGACC